UACGGAGGGGGCUAGCGUUGCUCGGAAUCACUGGGCGUAAAGGGUGCGUAGGCGGCGCGGUAAGUCGGGUGUGAAAUCUCGGAGCUUAACUCCGAAACUGCAUUCGAUACUGCCGUGCUUGAGGACUGGAGAGGAGACUGGAAUUUACGGUGUAGGGGUGAAAUGCGUAGAUAUCGUAAGGAAGACCAGUGGCGAAGGCGGGUCUCUGGACAGUUCCUGACGCUGAGGCACGAAGGUCAGGGGAGCAAACGGG
rnacentral:rRNA from 1 species